rnacentral:rRNA from 1 species
AGAGUUUGAUCCUGGCUCAGGACGAACGCUGGCGGCGUGCUUAACACAUGCAAGUCGAACGGAAAGGCCCUUCGGGGUACUCGAGUGGCGAACGGGUGAGUAACACGUGGGUGAUCUGCCCUGCACUCUGGGAUAAGCCUGGGAAACUGGGUCUAAUACCGGAUAGGACCGCAUGCUUCAUGGUGUGUGGUGCAAAGCUUUUGCGGUGUGGGAUGAGCCCGCGGCCUAUCAGCUUGUUGGUGGGGUAAUGGCCUACCAAGGCGACGACGGGUAGCCGGCCUGAGAGGGUGACCGGCCACACUGGGACUGAGGUACGGCCCAGACUCCUACGGGAGGCAGCAGUGGGGAAUAUUGCACAAUGGGCGCAAGCCUGAUGCAGCGACGCCGCGUGAGGGAUGACGGCCUUCGGGUUGUAAACCUCUUUCAGUAGGGACGAAGCGAAAGUGACGGUACCUACAGAAGAAGGACCGGCCAACUACGUGCCAGCAGCCGCGGUAAUACGUAGGGUCCGAGCGUUGUCCGGAAUUACUGGGCGUAAAGAGCUCGUAGGUGGUUUGUCGCGUUGUUCGUGAAAACUCACAGCUUAACUGUGGGCGUGCGGGCGAUACGGGCAGACUAGAGUACUGCAGGGGAGACUGGAAUUCCUGGUGUAGCGGUGGAAUGCGCAGAUAUCAGGAGGAACACCGGUGGCGAAGGCGGGUCUCUGGGCAGUAACUGACGCUGAGGAGCGAAAGCGUGGGUAGCGAACAGGAUUAGAUACCCUGGUAGUCCAA